UGAUACUGAUAGUAUCAUUUCCCGCGUAUUUGAUUUCACAAGUAUUUAAAAUAUCUACAUAACGUUACAAGUGCACAUUAAACUAAUUAUACGUAUAUACAGUAUAAACUUAGUUUUAUCAAUAGUAACUUUAUUUCCAAAAGCUAAAGGCAGGUUGAUUUUAUAAAAACUGUUGUGUCCCAAGUGUUUUGCUCUUUGCUUUUUAAAUUCAACUGUUAAACUAAAUCAGUAAAUGUUUUUAAAACUAUGUUCGUUCGGUGCAUAAGCAGAACGCAAGUUCAUCACUUGUACUUAUUUGACAGAUUUUGGAAGAACUUUACUCAUGAAAGUCAAAAAGUGGUAAACUACAAAAUCAUUACGAAGAACAAAAAAAUCCUCCAUUUCAGACAAAUUCGCAAUAACAUUAACAUUACGACCUCCAGGUUGAUAUGUCAAAAUUCCAACAAAAAUAUAUCAGAAACUUUGGUAUCAUAGCGCAUAUUGAUCAUGGGAAAAGUACAUUAUCAGACAGGCUGUUGGAAUAUACAGGAACCAUAUCGAAGAAUGAGCAGAACAAACAAGUGCUUGACAAGUUACCAGUCGAGAGAGAAAGAGGCAUCACUGUUAAGGCUCAAAGUGCCUCUAUUUUUUAUGAAUAUGAGGGAAAUGCUUACCUUCUCAAUCUGAUUGAUACACCCGUAAGUGAAAUUAUCAUUUUUAAAAAAGUUUGGUAAAUGCUAUAAA
rnacentral:misc_RNA from 1 species